CAGUGUUUGCAGAUGACACAAAACUUUGUAAAGUAAUAAAAUGUGAGCAGGAUAUUGCUUUGCUGCAGAGAGAUUUGGAUAGAUUGGGGGACUGGGCACUAAAAUGGCAGAUGAAAUUUAACACAGAGAAAUGCAAAGUUAUGCACUUCGGGGGUUAAGAAUGCACAAGCAAUUUACACCCUAAAUGGUAGUGAAUUAGGGAUAACCACACAUGAGAAGGAUUUGGGAAUUGUUAUAGACAACAAAUUGGGCAGCAAUAUGCAAUGUCAAUCUGCAGUUGCUAAGGCCAGA